rnacentral:rRNA from 1 species
GACGAACGCUGGCGGCGUGCUUAACACAUGCAAGUCGAACGGAAAGGCCCUGCUUUUGUGGGGUGCUCGAGUGGCGAACGGGUGAGUAACACGUGAGUAACCUGCCCUUGACUUUGGGAUAACUUCAGGAAACUGGGGCUAAUACCGGAUAGGAGCUCCUGCUGCAUGGUGGGGGUUGGAAAGUUUCGGCGGUUGGGGAUGGACUCGCGGCUUAUCAUCUUGUUGGUGGGGUAGUGGCUUACCAAGGCUUUGACGGGUAGCCGGCCUGAGAGGGUGACCGGCCACAUUGGGACUGAGAUACGGCCCAGACUCCUACGGGAGGCAGCAGUGGGGAAUAUUGCACAAUGGGCGGAAGCCUGAUGCAGCGACGCCGCGUGCGGGAUGACGGCCUUCGGGUUGUAAACCGCUUUCGCCUGUGACGAAGCGUGAGUGACGGUAAUGGGUAAAGAAGCACCGGCUAACUACGUG